rnacentral:rRNA from 1 species
UGGGGAAUUUUGCGCAAUGGGGGAAACCCUGACGCAGCAAUGCCGCGUGGAGGACGAAGGUCUUCGGAUUGUAAACUCCUUUUGCGGGGGAAAAAUACCGGCGUGAAUAACGCCGGCUGAUGGUACUCCGCGAAUAAGCCACGGCUAACUUCGUGCCAGCAGCCGCGGUAAGACGAAGGUGGCAAGCGUUACUCGGAAUUACUAGGCGUAAAGCGCGAGCAGGCGGUUUGGUAAGUCUGUUGUGAAAGCCCCGGGCUCAACCCGGGGAGGCCAAUGGAUACUAUCAGACUUGAAUACGGGAGAGGUCACUGGAAUUCCUGGUGUAGCGGUGAAAUGCGUAGAUAUCAGGAGGAACACCGAAGGCGAAGGCAGGUGACUGGACCGUUAUUGACGCUGAGUCGCGAAAGCCGGGGGAGCAAACAG